AUUGAACGCUGGCGGCAGGCUUAACACAUGCAAGUUGAGCGGAGAUGAGGUGCUUGCACCUUAUCUUAGCGGCGGACGGGUGAGUAAUGCUUAGGAAUCUGCCUAUUAGUGGGGGACAACAUUCCGAAAGGGAUGCUAAUACCGCAUACGUCCUACGGGAGAAAGCAGGGGAUCUUCGGACCUUGCGCUAAUAGAUGAGCCUAAGUCGGAUUAGCUAGUUGGUGGGGUAAAGGCCUACCAAGGCGACGAUCUGUAGCGGGUCUGAGAGGAGGAUCCGCCACACUGGGACUGAGACACGGCCCAGACUCCUAAGGGAGGCAGCAGUGGGGAAUAUUGGACAAUGGGGGGAACCCUGAUCCAGCCAUGCCGCGUGUGUGAAGAAGGCCUUAUGGUUGUAAAGCACUUUAAGCGAGGAGGAGGCUACUGAGACUAAUACUCUUGGAUAGUGGACGUUACUCGCAGAAUAAGCACCGGCUAACUCUGUGCCAGCCGCCGCCGUAAUAC
rnacentral:rRNA from 1 species